rnacentral:misc_RNA from 1 species
CAUUCCUCCGUGACAACGCAACCGUCGCAGCUUACCCUCAUCAAGACGGACGGGGAAAAAUCCGCAACGGUCGCGAUCGUCGUUCUUUCCGAGGCACAAGGCAACCCGACAGGGCAAAUAAGGGAGAAAACCCCACGCCCGUAUAACUUUCCGCAUCCGAAACCACGAACAAUAGACAUGUGCGCCAACGCAACCAGGUCGUGGCCUGCGUGGAAUACAUGCAUUGCUACGAGGUUGGCCCCGAGCCAUGGCAGGCAAGGGGCGAAGGGGCACAAUAAUCGCAUUCAAUUUCCACUCUAGUGGGUAAGCAGCACAGGAACCUAGCAUGACAUCGAAAAAAUUUUCAUGUCUUCGUAUCUGAAGGGAUCGUGGCAAAGCAGUUCGGUGCCCGAAGCAUGGAGCCUGCCUUCCCAAACGAUCCUAGCACCACUCACGCGC